rnacentral:rRNA from 1 species
AUGCGCCUUGAUUCAGAUGGUGCUUUGGAAAGCUUAGAAAUUGUUGUUGCUAACAUGACAGAAUUUGUUGUGCUUCUGGGUGGAUGCGAGCGCAUGUCUCGUAGGGCAUAUGAUGUUUAUCUUUACACCAACAACUUCAUGUUCAGCCGACAUUCUGAAAAGCAAAGGCUCUUGAACUUCUUGUUGGGGCACAAUGAUUCUCCUGGUGAUCAUGCACUAGCAGUUCUUCCAAUCAUAGGUGGUGUUGGAGUUGGGAAUAAAACAUUGGUUGCUCAUGUGUGUGGCGAUGAUAGGGUUCUCUCACGCUUCUCCUCCAUUUUGCACUUGAAUGGGGACAGCCUAUUGACGAUACUUGACCAUGGAAGGACCAUGUUUGGGAUGACAUUGGUAGUUAUUGAGUUUGUUUCUGAUGUAAGUGACGAUGAUUGGAAAAAGUUUCACUCGUUUCCAAUAAGAAUCAACAGAGGAAGCAAGAUCAUCAUUAUAAUUAAACUUAAAACAUUAGGCUGGUUUGGAUCAGUGCAGCCUAAUUUCCUAAGUGUUCUGUCUUAUGACGAGUUGAGGUGCCUUUUCAACAUACUGGCAUUUGGGAGCAUAGACUCCACAGAGCAUCCACGACUAGUACAAAUAGCAGAUGAGUUUGCCAAGGAGUUGCACAGUAUGCAAGGCACACUUGUUGCAACAAAUAUGUACGCGGAUGUGUUGACAAGGAACCUCAAUGUCUAGUUCUGGUGCAUAUUGGACAAGGGAAGAAUAUUUAUUAAAAGAAACCUCUCCAUAUAUGGUGUGCACCCCACCACGCUUCUAGAACAAGGCCAUCCAGUGGACAUAACGGACUAUGCUUUGCAUCCACUUAGCAUGAGACGUCACACAAUUAAUGUUUCAGUCAAGGAGGAACUACCAAGUAUGACAAUGGGGAAACUUCUAACAGAUCCAAAUGUUAGACCCAAAGAAGAUUUCAUUCUAAUUUGGGAAUCAAGGAUGCCCACUCAUACCUCAUUUGCUCGUCUUGUUACUAGUAAUGCUCAGGAGGCACAUGAAGGUAAUGCCUUGCCAGGGUGGAAGGGACGAGAAGUGCCAAUAUAA